rfam:Ovis aries breed Texel chromosome 1, whole genome shotgun sequence.
UGGCUCAGAGGUUAAAGCGUCUGCCUGGAAUUCAGGAGACCCGGGUUCAAUCCCUGG